AUUGAACGCUGGCGGCAGGCCUAACACAUGCAAGUCGAGCGGAUGAAGGGAGCUUGCUCCUGGAUUCAGCGGCGGACGGGUGAGUAAUGCCUAGGAAUCUGCCUGGUAGUGGGGGAUAACGUCCGGAAACGGGCGCUAAUACCGCAUACGUCCUGAGGGAGAAAGUGGGGGAUCUUCGGACCUCACGCUAUCAGAUGAGCCUAGGUCGGAUUAGCUAGUUGGUGGGGUAAAGGCCUACCAAGGCGACGAUCCGUAACUGGUCUGAGAGGAUGAUCAGUCACACUGGAACUGAGACACGGUCCAGACUCCUACGGGAGGCAGCAGUGGGGAAUAUUGGACAAUGGGCGAAAGCCUGAUCCAGCCAUGCCGCGUGUGUGAAGAAGGUCUUCGGAUUGUAAAGCAUUUUAAGUUGGGAGGAAGGGCAGUAAGUUAAUACCUUGCUGUUUUGACGUUACCAACAGAAUAAGCACCGGCUAACUUCGUG
rnacentral:rRNA from 1 species